rnacentral:rRNA from 1 species
UACGUAGGAUGCGAGCGUUGUCCGGAUUUAUUGGGCGUAAAGGGCUCGUAGGCGGUUUGUCGCGUCGGGAGUGAAAACACCGGGCUUAACUCGGUGCUUGCUUUCGAUACGGGCAGACUGGAGGCAUGCAGGGGAGAACGGAAUUCCUGGUGUAGCGGUGAAAUGCGCAGAUAUCAGGAGGAACACCGGUGGCGAAGGCGGUUCUCUGGGCAUGUCCUGACGCUGAGGAGCGAAAGUGUGGGGAGCGAACAGG